rnacentral:rRNA from 1 species
UGCGUAGGCUGUUUCGUAAGUCGUGUGUGAAAGGCGCGGGCUCAACCCGCGGACGGCACAUGAUACUGCGAGACUAGAGUAACGGAGGGGGAACCGGAAUUCUCGGUGUAGCAGUGAAAUGCGUAGAUAUCGAGAGGAACACUCGUGGCGAAGGCGGGUUCCUGGACAUUAACUGACGCUGAGGCACGAAGGCCAGGGGAGCGAAAG